AUUGAACGCUGGCGGCAGGCCUAACACAUGCAAGUCGAGCGGAAGAAGGGAGCUUGCUUCUUGGUUCAGCGGCGGACGGGUGGGGAAUGGCUAAGUAUCUCGCUAGUAGUGUGGGCUAACGUCGGGAAACGGGCGCUCAUACCGCAUACGUCCUGAGGGCGGACGGGGGGGAUCUUCGGAUCUUACGACAUCAGAUGAUCCUAGGUCGGGUUGUUUAGUUGGUGGGGUAAAGGGCUACCGGGGCGAAGAUCCGUCACUGCUCUGAGAGGAUGAUAAGUCACACUGGAACUGAGACACGGUCCAGACUCCUACGGGAGGCAGCAGUGGGGAAUAUUGGACAAUGGGCGAAAGCCUGAUCCAGCCAUGCCGCGUGUGUGAAGAAGGUCUUCGGGUUGUAAAGCUCUUUUCGUUGGGAGGAAGAGCAGUAAGUUAAUACCUUGCUGUUUUGACGUUACCAACAGAAUAAGCACCGGCUAACUUCGUG
rnacentral:rRNA from 1 species